ACAAAUCUCACUUUGUGUAAAUAACACACACGUAUCGGCACAUAUUCCGGGGUGCCCUUCGGGGUCGGUAAUAUGGGAUACGUGGAGGCAUAACC
rnacentral:sRNA from 1 species